rnacentral:rRNA from 1 species
AGAGUUUGAUCCUGGCUCAGGAUGAACGCUGGCGGCGUGCCUAACACAUGCAAGUCGAACGGACUCAUACUGAAACCUAGUGAUUUAUGAGUUAGUGGCGGACGGGUGAGUAACACGUGGAUAACCUGCCGUAUACCGGGGGAUAACACUUAGAAAUAGGUGCUAAUACCGCAUGAGCGCACAGCUCCGCAUGGGGCGGUGUGAAAAACUCCGGUGGUAUACGAUGGAUCCGCGUCUGAUUAGCCAGUUGGCGGGGUAACGGCCCACCAAAGCGACGAUCAGUAGCCGGCCUGAGAGGGUGAACGGCCACAUUGGGACUGAGACACGGCCCAGACUCCUACGGGAGGCAGCAGUGGGGAAUAUUGCACAAUGGGGGAAACCCUGAUGCAGCGACGCCGCGUGAGUGAAGAAGUAUCUCGAUAUGUAAAGCUCUAUCAGCAGGAAAGAUAAUGACGGUACCUGACUAAGAAGCCCCGGCUAACUACGUG